rfam:Nelumbo nucifera unplaced genomic scaffold scaffold00043, whole genome shotgun sequence
GGGGACGAAGCUUAAAAGGUAGAGUGCUUGCUUUGCUUGCAAGAGGUACGGGGCUCGAUACACCGCAUUUCCA